ACGCUGAAAGCAUCUAAGUGUGAAACUCGCCUCGAGAUGAGAUUUCCCAUUUCCUUCGGGAAAGUAAGACCCCUCAGAGAUGAUGAGGUAGAUAGGAUGGAAGUGGAAGUGCCGUGAGGCAUGGAGCGGACCAUUACUAAUCGGUCGAGGACUUAACCAAG
rnacentral:rRNA from 1 species